CGAGCCGGCCGGGCGGCCGCGUCGGGACCUUCACGGGUCCCGUCGAGGAACGUCCGGGCUCCACACGGCAGGGUGGUGGGUAACGCCCACCUGGGGUGACCCACGGGACAGUGCCACAGAGAACAGACCGCCAGGAGUCUCCGGACCCCUGGUAAGGGUGAAACGGUGGUGUAAGAGACCACCAGCGCCCGAGGUGACUCGGGCGGCUCGGUAAACCCCA
rnacentral:RNase_P_RNA from 1 species